rnacentral:lncRNA from 1 species
UAAAACACCACCUUAAUAGAUAAUAAUACUUAAAAAGGACACAAACGGGAUUUAAUAAAUUAUCCCAAAGUCCAAAACUAAAAAAAAAAAUACAAAUUUACCAAACUACCCACUAAAAACUGAAGUGGUGAGCACUGCAAUUGCCAAAAAUUCCAUCACAGGCAUCCCCCAUCUUCCCUAAAUUACAAAAUAAACCCAUAAUUACCCUAUAAAAUUACAAAAACACCCUUAUGUAAUUUUUUUCUACCGAAAAACUAACAUACUUCUAAAUACUCUUAUAAUGCACGCAGUCCACUAGAUUGAACCCCAAUCAAUCUCGUAGGACGGAUGCUUCUCCAACGAGAAAUUAUCCGUCCACCCGCCAUUGUCGUCUUCGGUGAACUCCAAAAACGUCAGAUCCGAAGACGGCGAUGAGUUUCCCGAUCCACCGUACCCUUCCGACCAACCGCCAUUGUCCUCUUCCACCUUAACAACCUCUGGCGCCGCCGCCGCCGUCUUCGCCUUUGACCGCCGUUGACCAGACUUUUUACAACCGUCAACGGACUUUCCUUCAGCCAAACACUGACAAAUGGUUUGUAACUUAGCAACAACUGAAGAAUGUAACGGCUUGAAGUCGGCUAACUCCGAGCCGCCGUUAUGACGGAGGUUUGGGAAGUUGAGCCGCGCGUAGUCUCCACGGAGCUUGUACGCGGCUUUGUCGUAAGCCAGCGCGGCUUCUUCGGCUGAGUCGAAUGUACCCAGCCAAAGCCGGGUUCGACUCUUGGGUAAACGGAUCUCCGCGACCCAUUUACCCCAGUGUCUUUGUCUUACACCUCUAUAAAGCUUUGCGGGUUUUGGUGGGGACCCGGUUGUAAUAACCGGGUCCGAAGGUGUGAAGUUAAAGUGAUUUUGUGGCCAUUGUGUUUGUGUUGGGAAUUGAGAUUGUAAUUGUGGUUGUGAUUGUACUUCCAUUUGGUUUUGGAACUGGUGGGUCGGGUUGAAUUGGGUCAACCCGAGUGAAGAUCCGGGUUGGUUGUACCCGGAUUGGUCUGGGAGAGAGUAACCCGGGUACAACCCGGAUUCUUGAAUGGUAGAGAAGAUGUAGUCAGAAGAAGAAGGGAUAAAAGAGUCAAAAGACGAAGAAGGGUAUGGAUAAGAAGUAGGGGGAGAAGAAAAAGGGAGGGUAUUUUGGUAAUUUGACGAGUCAAUUGGAGCACUUUUGAUAAAAGGUUCAAGUGCAUCCAUUAAUUCACCACCAGGCUGAAAUUGAAACUCAUUUUCAUUCCAGAAAUUCAUAGCAGCUGAAGCCAUUAAUUUUUUUUUAAUUUUUUUAUAAAAUAUUCUAAAGGAAAAUAAAUAAAUUAAAAAAAAGACGAUUUUCUAGGGAGAAAAAUACCAGGAAAAUCAAGAUGGGUUUUUUUAAUAAAAAUUAAAAACCCAAAUUCCAAUAAAAAUUAAAAAAAAAAACAACUUUUAGGGAACAAAAAUAAUCCCUAAAAAGGUGAUUUUGAAGAAGAAAUAGAACCCAAUUUAAAAAAGAUGGAUCUCUAUUCUGAAAACACCAGACUCUCUUUAAAAAAAAAUUAAAUCAAGUUUGCUUUUUUGUUCAUUAAUUAAUAAUAAUCUUGAAAAUCAACAAAAACAAACCCAAAACAUUUAUAUUUUUUUUUUGUAGUUGAAAGACCAGAUGAUUACAGAAAGGGAUACACAGAAGCGGGGAUUAUAAGAAGGGGGGGAUUUUUUAAAAACUUUAAGAAAAUCAGCACAUAAUAAAAAAAGAAAACUUUUAAGUGUGUGUUUUUAGUGUGUGAAGAAUAGGAAGCUCUCAAGACCUCACUUUUGUGUGUUUGAGUAUUUGGGUAAGGAGAAGGGGUGUUUUAUAGGUGAAGCUAACUGGGUUAAGUGAUGGAGUUAACCAUGGUAAAAACGCGUAUAGGGGGUAGUCAAGUGCCGGUGAAAACGGGACAUCUGUCGGUUAAAGGGUCUGGUUUUAAGUUAUGGGUUUGA